rnacentral:tRNA from 1 species
GCGGGAUUAGUUGAUCGGCUCAACAUCAGCUUUCCAAGCUGAGAAGACGGGUUCGACUCCCGUAUCCCGCU